UGUGCAGGGGAAGGGUUAGCAGAAGAGGUUAAGCAUUAUGCUGAGUGAACUUCCUUAGAGGAAUUUAAUUAGGCUUUGCUAUGAACUGACUAUUUGUGUUCCCUCAAAUGUCAUAAGUCCAAACAAUGCCCCCAAAUGUGCUAGUAUUAGGAGGUGGGGUCUUUAGCAGGUAAUUUGGGUUAGCUUACAUCAAGAGGGUGGAGCCCUUGUGGGUGGGCUUGAUGACCUUAUUAGAGUCAGAUGAGCCUUUGCUUCCUGUCUCUCACCUUGUAAGGAUGCUAGAAGUCAGCGGUCUGCAAACCGGAAACCCAGAAGAGGAUUCUCACCGAACUCUAUAGUGCUGGCACCCUGAUUUUGGACUUCCCAUCCUCCAGAACUGUAAGAAUUUAGACAUCAGAAUUUCCUGUGUCAUUGCAACACUGAGAUCACAAAGAAGAAAACAAGCAUAAAAGAAAAUUUUCGUAAUUAUCAACAUGAAAUAAUUAUGCCAGUUGGAUAAAAAGCAUUUCAGGCAAACUGAAGGUGUUAUGUUCAUAGCAAGAUAUAGAAACAGCUGCUGGAGAUGAUGAUCACCAUGAAAGCACAUCUUGAGAAGCAUUUGAAGAUGUGUUUUCAAGGGUGACUGUUCCCCAUAGUUGAGACACCACCAACCUGGUUUUUAAUGCAAAUAGUCCAUUCUACCCAACUGCCAGGUCCUGCUACUGUAACUUGAUGAUUAACAGACGAGCGCAGCAGUUACUGUUUCGACUGCUCAGUCCAAAGCAAAGCCAUUACCUUUUCCCUCUAAAUGUACUUUCCUUUCAUUGCUUUCUGAAUGUAACAUAUAUUGUGCCUCAGGAUUUCAUGAUCCAUUGGCACUGUUGUGCUACUUAUAAAGAUGCCAAAUAAAAUUAUUAAAUAACAUUAAAAGUC